ensembl:miRNA
CGUGUUGGUCUGCUGCUGGAUGCGCUUGAUCGUGGCCCCCUUGGGGCCCACCACCAGCCCCACCACGCGGUAGGGCACCCUCA